GUGAUACGCCGUCAGCUCAUGCGCAUGCGCUUUAUAAUGUGAUACCGCCAUACCUUCCUCGAGACGCCGGCGGUUGUACAAGAUGGGGAACAAGAGAUUCCUCAAUUUUAACUCACAAAGUUCUUUUGAUUGUCGAUUUUCGGACAAAUAUGGAUAAUUGAAUUAGUAUCAGUUUAAUGAACAAUCUGGAUAUCUAUUUAUUUGUUUUAGAAGUGUUAUCCUCGAUUUAGGCAUGUGACCAAGCCUUCACCCAGGCGACGACACUUUCAGAAUUUGGACCGGAAGUAAUAAGAUAUGGCGUCUGAUGUCGCGGAUCAUGGGAUAGCCCACUCUGUUAAUAAGUGGUGGAUUUCCCAAGAUCCGUGAUCGCAUCUCGCUUUUAACACCGGAAGUGACGGAAUUAAACUACGAAAACCGGAAGAUUGAUAUAAGAAGCAGAACAGAAUGCCGUAUUCAUUUUUCAAAUUUCUUUGUUAAGUUUUCUGUCAAUAAAUACAUUUUUUUUAGUCAAAA